AAGCAUAUUAAUAAGCGGAGGAAAAGAAACUAACCAGGAUUCCCCUAGUAACGGCGAGUGAAGCGGGAAGAGCUCACGUUGUGAAUCUGCGCUCUGCGUGGAAUUGUGGUCUGUAGACUCUUGCGUUAUUGGGCCGGGCCAAGUCCCUUGGAACAGGGCAGCCGAGAGGGUGAGACUCCCGUAUGCCUGGCCCUUGGAGCGAGUGUCGACGAGUCGAGUUGUUUGGGAUUGCAGCUCUAAGCGGGUGGUAAAUUCCAUCUAAAGCUAGAUACUGGUGGGAGACCGAUAGCGUACAAGUACCGUGAGGGAAAGAUGCAAAGCCGCGCGAAAGCGCUGUUAAAGAGUACCUGAACUUGCUGAAAAGGAAGCGRAGGAAACCAGUGCCAGCUGCGUCAUACUUCCCCUGCUGCUUGCGGCCGGGGCGCUGUGGCCAGCGUUGUCAGGCUUGUUUGUCGGGAUCGGAGAUGCGCGCGGGUAGUUGACCCGCGUCGCUUGCGGUCCCGGCGAAUGCAGCCUGUCGAAAUGGUUUUCUUUUUCCCG
rnacentral:rRNA from 1 species